rnacentral:rRNA from 1 species
GGCAGCAGCCAUAUCACCUUGCAGUUCUCAACUGACUACCCACUGAAGCUAAGCAGGGAUGGGCCUAGUCAUUACCUGGAUGGGAUACCUCCUGGGAAUCUAUGGUUGCUGCUGGAA